AGUGCAGACCCUGAAGUCCCUGCUCUGCCUUCUGCGGUGUGAGGAUGUGGUGGUGGCAAUGGAACGCAGGCGUGGCUGGGACACGCUGCUCUCUGUUGACACCCACCACUUUGCUGUGGCUCUGCUGGGCAGAGAAAUUUGCCAAUCAGACAUACACUUUUGUUCCGA